rnacentral:rRNA from 1 species
GACGAACGCUGGCGGCGUGCUUAACACAUGCAAGUCGAACGGAAAGGGCCUGCUUUUGUGGGGUGCUCGUGUGGCGAACGGGUGAGUAACACGUGAGUGACCUGCCCUUGACUUUGGGAUAACUUCAGGAAACUGGGGUUAAUACCGGAUAGGAGCUCCUUCUGCACGGGGGGGGUGGGAAAGUUUCGGCGGUUGGGGAUGGACGUGCGGUUCAGCAGUGUGUUGGUGGGGUAGUGGCUUACCAAGGCUUUGACGGGUAGCCGGCCUGAGAGGGUGACAGGCCACAUUGGGCUAGAGAAGCCGCCCAGACUGCUACGGGAGGCAGCAGUGGAAGAUAUUCCACGCUGGGCGGCAGCCUGAUGGAGCAACUCCGCGUCGGGGAUGACGGCCUUCGGGUUGUAACCCGCUUUCGCCUGUGAAGAUGCGUGAGUGACGGUAAUGGCUAAAGAAGCACCGGCUAACUACGUG